UUCAUCUUCCGGAACGUCUUUAAAUCCAAAAUGAGUCAUGUGGCUUGAGGUAUCAGUAUCUUUCGAGCUAGUACUGGUAUAGCGACAAUUAGACAAUCGAGAGCCAGCCAAAGCUGUAGACCUGAUUCCUUUCAAUCCAUCAGCUAAAAAUUUAGCAACAGGAGCUCUUAAACGUGACAUGAUACAGCAGUUUCAAAAACGAAUACCAAGUGUAACGGUUUUGUUUAUGGAUAGUGCUAGGUAGAAACUCACGAUUUGAAGGGAAUCUGAUGCUACCUAUAUACCGCAAUACACUAACAUACGCAAUUUCCGAUGGUAAAGCAAAGGUAAAUUAAAUAUAUGGGAAAUGAUAAGAAAAUUGAAUAAAUAUUAUGAAUCAUAAAUAAAUAAAAGUUCAAAGGCUCAAGAUUCUGGAAAGAAAACGCUUGCGACCUUGGCGGAAAGUGCUGGCCCUAUUGUUUGAAAACCAUAGCCUUGACAAGUCUUAUUCAGUAAUAAGUUUCUUUCCUGGCUAGAUGAUGACUUUUCGUACGCCUCAAAUAAAUGCAUGAAUGUUGGAUAUUUCUUCUGAAUCUCGAUGGCUUUUGAAGCACUUAUACCUUUUAUAGUCAUAAGCAUUCGAAUAAAAAUAUCCCCCACGGUCAAAGUAGAAGACUUCGAGAGGACAGAGGAAAAUGCAUGGUAUGAUAUGUGGUAAGGAGUUGAGGGAUCAAUUUUUAGAAGUUGCUCUCGUAACGACUCAUAAGUUUUGGCUUCUAUCGACAAAUCGGGAAUGACAGCGAGGGUUUUACGUUUCUCAUAAAACAGGUUAAUUUGCUUUGUCAUUUCAGCAAGCAAACUUACGCUGUGUUCAAGUGAUCGCGUAUGACGGACAUGAAAUAAUUGAUCGACUUGGGUAUUGCUAACAGCUGUACGAAUUGAUUCCGUGAAACUUUCAUCAUAAGAGGAUUCCUCCAAAAUGUAGGUGACUGAACGUAUUCCGCUCUUCUUUAGACGUGCCUUUUGUUCGUGAAAUCUUCCGUCCUUAAUGGAAGCAACUAAAUCAUCAUAUCUUUUCCUUUCAACGACAAAAUCCAACACAACUUCUUGACCGCUUUCCAUAUCCCUUGCAACCCAUAAAGCAUCUCCCAAUUCUAAUGAUCGUACCUGACAAUUGACACCAAAGUCAUUAGUCAGUUUAUCGAUAAUAAGAUUGCGAUCCAAGGGAGAACGUAUUUCUCGAGUAUCAAUCAGAAGAAAAACCGUACAGUUUGAGAAUAAUACCGUCUCGAUUUUUAAGUUAGACAAAUUGCUUUCAUUUGGUUGCUUUUUUUCUUGUUCCGUCAAGUCAAUCAACUGCUCAUUGUUAAUGAUAUGGUGAUCAUGAAUUCCGGUCAACGAAUCCACCUGAUCAACAUCUAUAUCGGUUUCAACACCAUCAGAAACUUCAUUAUGAUCUACCGGACAGUAAGUAACAUGUAGUUCACCUCCGUGGUCUGAAGAACUUCCUGCUUUAUUGAUUGAUGUAACAAAAUUUGGAGGUUGGCAUAAAGAGGAAUCAUGAUCAUCGGAUUUAGAGACAGAAAAGUUUGAUACAGUAUGUUUCCGUUGAAAGGAAUCGUCUACUUUUGCCAAACGUAUGCAAACUUCUUCACCAUCGUCGGUCAAGCAGUACUUAGAGGGAUGACCUGUCUGGUAAACUAAAUUUUUUGUGAUCAAAGUCUUCAUAGCACUCCAUGCAGUAUAACGCAUGUUUCGGUCUGUAGCAGAUCCAAAGGACGAAUCACAAUACGGUUGGGCCAUCGUAACAAUUUGAGGCUUUGUAGCGAAUUCGUGUUUAUUAAGCAUAUAAAGAGCGCAAAGAAUUGAAUAUGCACCAGAACGAUAGCUCGGAACAUAGACCUUUCUCUUUCUUGUAGUCGGUUUUUUAACGCUUCGAGGCUUUUCAGAAGAAGUCUCAGAAGACGAUUUAUUAGCAUUGACAUGAGAAUCAUUCUGUUCAUUGUGCGUGCUAAUUGGAAUAUUAUUUUCCAAACAGUAAGCGUUCCAUUUCUUUUCUAGCUUGGCACAAAUCGUAGGGCCAAUUCCCUUCAGUGCCAAUGCCUGAGAAGGACGAUGAAAUGUGAUGGGGCAACUUUUCAUUGAAUCGUAGGCCU
rnacentral:lncRNA from 1 species